ACAAUCAUAUCUAGUGAGCUCCCCCUAGUGGUGACUGUACACAAUCAUAUCUAAUGAGAUCCCGCUAGUGGUAACUGUACACAAUCGUAUCUAGUGAGCUCCCCCUAGUGGUGACUGUACACAAUUGUAUCUAGUGAGCUCUCCCUAGUGGUGACUGUACACAAUCGUAUCUAGUGAGCUCCCCCUAGUGGUGACUGUACACAAUCAUAUCUAGUGAGCUCCCCCUAGUGGUGACUGUACACAAUCAUAUCUAGUGAGCUCCCCCUAGUGGUGACUGUACACAAUCGUAUCUAGUGAGCUGCCCCUAGUGGUGACUGUA